AGAAAAUAUAUAUACAGAAGGCAACCACGCCGCGCGCCAGAUCUAUCACGCCGCGCGUGGUUGCAAAUUCAUCAACUACGCCGCGCGUGGUAACAGAAUCACGCGGCGCGUGAUCAAGUCAGAGAGUAUUCUUCUUCUUCAGCAAAGCUUCACGCCGCGCGUGGUCAAAGCUACGCCGCGCGUGGGCAAGUCAGAGAGCAAUCCAGUUCCUGAACAAAGGUUCACGCCGCGCGUGGU
rnacentral:lncRNA from 1 species